CAGGCCUAACACAUGCAAGUCGAACGGUAACAGGAUAGCUUGCUAUCGCUGACGAGUGGCGGACGGGUGAGUAAUACUUAGGGAUCUGCCCUUGGGUGGGGGAUAACCAUUGGAAACGAUGGCUAAUACCGCAUAAUGUCUACGGACCAAAGGGGGCUUCGGCUCUCACCUGAGGAUGAACCUAAGCGAGAUUAGCUUGUUGGUGAGGUAAAGGCUCACCAAGGCGACGAUCUCUAGCUGUUCUGAGAGGAAGAUCAGCCACACUGGGACUGAGAC
rnacentral:rRNA from 9 species